GAGACAGAUAAUGAGAGAAAAGAGAGGCAUCAUCGUGCUGCCAAUCCUCCAAAUGAAAUGUUCCCGACCAUUGGAUUCAAAAAGUUGGAGCUCUUUGAAGAUUCCAGGUGCCAGCUCGUCAGCAUGGCAACUUUGCUUCGCCAUCCUGCGUUUCGCCAUCGUCUUCAUGACCAUGCCUGGUUCUAUGUAGGCACGUCCCCGAGAGAGUAAGCAACGCCACUCAUCGUGGGUAUGAUGGCAUCUGCUAAGUCAUAAUGGAGAUAUGCGACUUGUCUUGUUAUUCUCGUUGGCACGCGCCAACCUUCGGCAGCGUGCCAGGAUCUCUGCACUGCAGUAUGCCGCUGGGAAGUUGGCGGUGGCUUGGGAAUGGCAGAGUGCCAGCAUGUUCCUGCGGUAACCAGCCCCUGACGCGUGCCACUUGGCAAAGACAAAGAGCCCUAGGGACGAAACACAAAACAAGAUUGAAAAACACAGUGAUCCGACAGCUUAAUUAACACUCGCAGAGUUUGUUGGGUUAAUUAGUGUGACAGAUGUGGUGAGGAGGAAUAUGGCAGAAACACUUGUGAGAACAAAAGUGAUGGGCAACCCAGACUGAUGGAAUGUCAUCGGAUGCCAUCAGUAACUCCGCCAACCCUGUGCCAAUGACAAUUUACAUUCAAUAAAGUUUUUCUUUUUUUUAAAGGAUAAAUGGAAUGAAAAGGAAAAAAUCUAGAAACUGUCAUACAAAAACAAGUUUGUUUCAAAUUUUGGACAAGACAGAAGUUUGAAGAAACAACUGUGGAAACAAGCAAACAGGGAGGAGCUAAAGAAACCACAGGCCAUGACUUAUACAGUGACUCAACAGAUCAAUUCAAACACUAAAGUCAUUAUGGAAUAUGGAUUUUAUGUACUACAAAACCAAAACAGUAUGGAUUGCUCAAAUGAACACAAGAAAGAGUGAAUUUUCUCUGGUAUGUUGGGAACACCAAAAAGAUACAUGUUGGCCGGUAUUAGUAUGGUGUAAUUUACCAGGUAGAUGCACUACUUUUGCAAUUUAAUGGACUUACAAGAGCUUUCCAAAUGCAAAGACAGGACCUUAAACCAUCAUAUACGUAGUAAUGAGUGAUUUUGUGCUUGAAUACCUGUUCUGAGUAUCCUCGACACUUCCUGUUGAGUCAGAGAGAAGAUUAUGAGAGUGAGUGAGAAGAAUUCAGUCCUUCACUGGAUGCAUUUGACAUUGUAGAGGAGCAUAAAUAAUACAGAUUUUCUCUCUUCCUCUUCCUUCUGGUGUUUUCUGAAGUAAGGGAUUUACUCACCUUUGUGCUUCGAAUCUUUCAUUGGCAUUGUUCUCGUCGAAUGACACAGGAUUGGUUCCAAAAUGGACAUUGUUUUCAGCAUAUCCUAUGAUAAACAAGUUCAAAUCGACAUUAACAACCUCAUGAAAUGAGCCGUUUAAUUUGCUGGGGGUUUUUUUGCCUUCACGUCUUUCUUUGUACCGAUUGUGGACAAUUAUGUAUGGAUAUGCUAAUCACGCUGUAUUAAUGAGGUUUGUAUCGCUGGGAUUCUUUUCUUUACUCCUGUGGGGAUCUUAAUUUUACCUCAUCUUUAUUAUGUAAAUGGAUUAUGCCAAAAAAACUGCACAUACACACACACACACACACACACACACACAUGUACACUAACAAAAAAGGGGGCGUCAAAGGAGGAGGGAAUAUGGCAACAGUGGAGGGGGGGGGGGUUGCAGAAAAUGGAGGAUACGCUCCCUCAGCAGCAACAAAAUGCAAGAGAUUUGCACAGAAAUCUGAAAGGAUCUUUCUCCUCAAUGCACCAUGUCCCAAGACACGACAAACAUUUUUUUUCUCUCUCUUUCUUGUAGCUAUUUUUACUGCAGUAGCCCUGCAAUGGAGUGACAGAGACAAAGAUGGGAUUUACUAGAUAGAGAGAGAGAGAGAGAGAGAGAGAGUGAGAGAGAGAGAAUUCGUUAAUAUCCUGCGCUUAAUCAUGGCACAUGAGAUUGGCUGUAUGCAUAUCUCAUUUGCAUCUCAUUAAAUUGCUCAUGCACCUGCAGAGAGAGGGGAGAGGGGCAGAUGAUGGCACAACGAGAAAAGAGGGUCUUGUUUCAAUAUCCAGACUUUUUCUUAAGCAGUUACUUCAUUUUAUGUUGAUAUAUAUAU